rnacentral:rRNA from 1 species
UUCGAGUCGUUGAUUUCACACUGCCGAGAAAAGCCUCUAGAUAGAAAAUAGGUGCCCGUACCGCAAACCGACACAGGUAGUCAAGAUGAGAAUUCUAAGGUGAGCGAGCGAACUCUCGUUAAGGAACUCGGCAAAAUGACCCCGUAACUUCGGGAGAAGGGGUGCUCUUUAGGGUUAACGCCCAGAAGAGCCGCAGUGAAUAGGCCCAAGCGACUGUUUAUCAAAAACACAGGUCUCUGCUAAACCGUAAGGUGAUGUAUAGGGGCUGACGCCUGCCCGGUGCUGGAAGGUUAAGAGGAGUGGUUAGCUUCUGCGAAGCUACGAAUCGAAGCCCCAGUAAACGGCGGCCGUAACUAUAACGGUCCUAAGGUAGCGAAAUUCCUUGUCGGGUAAGUUCCGACCCGCACGAAAGGCGUAACGAUUUGGGCACUGUCUCAACGAGAGACUCGGUGAAAUCAUAGUACCUGUGAAGAUGCAGGUUACCCGCGACAGGACGGAAAGACCCCGUGGAGCUUUACUGUAGCCUGAUAUUGAAAUUCGGCACAGCUUGUACAGGAUAGGUAGGAGCCUUUGAAACGUGAGCGCUAGCUUACGUGGAGGCGCUGGUGGGAUACUACCCUAGCUGUGUUGGCUUUCUAACCCGCACCACUUAUCGUGGUGGGAGACAGUGUCAGGCGGGCAGUUUGACUGGGGCGGUCGCCUCCUAAAAGGUAACGGAGGCGCUCAAAGGUUCCCUCAGAAUGGUUGGAAAUCAUUCAUAGAGUGUAAAGGCAUAAGGGAGCUUGACUGCGAGACCUACAAGUCGAGCAGGGUCGAAAGACGGACUUAGUGAUCCGGUGGUUCCGCAUGGAAGGGCCAUCGCUCAACGGAUAAAAGCUACCCCGGGGAUAACAGGCUUAUCUCCCCCAAGAGUUCACAUCGACGGGGAGGUUUGGCACCUCGAUGUCGGCUCAUCGCAUCCUGGGGCUGUAGUCGGUCCCAAGGGUUGGGCUGUUCGCCCAUUAAAGCGGUACGCGAGCUGGGUUCAGAACGUCGUGAGACAGUUCGGUCCCUAUCCGUCGUGGGCGUAGGAAAUUUGAGAGGAGCUGUCCUUAGUACGAGAGGACCGGGAUGGACAUACCUCUGGUGUACCAGUUGUCGUGCCAACGGCAUAGCUGGGUAGCUAUGUGUGGACGGGAUAAGUGCUGAAAGCAUCUAAGCAUGAAGCCCCCCUCAAGAUGAGAUUUCCCAACUUCGGUUAUAAGAUCCCUCAAAGAUGAUGAGGUUAAUAGGUUCGAGGUGGAAGCAUGGUGACAUGUGGAGCUGACGAAUACUAAUCGAUCGAAGACUUAAUCAA